UGGCGGCCGUAGCGCGGUGGUCCCACCUGACCCCAUGCCGAACUCAGAAGUGAAACGCCGUAGCGCCGAUGGUAGUGUGGGGUCUCCCCAUGUGAGAGUAGGGAACUGCCA
rnacentral:rRNA from 1 species